rnacentral:rRNA from 1 species
AGAGUUUGAUCCUGGCUCAGAUUGAACGCUGGCGGCAUGCCUUACACAUGCAAGUCGAACGGCAGCGCGGGAGCAAUCCUGGCGGCGAGUGGCGAACGGGUGAGUAAUAUAUCGGAACGUGCCCAGUAGUGGGGGAUAGCCCGGCGAAAGCCGGAUUAAUACCGCAUACGACCUGAGGGUGAAAGCGGGGGAUCGCAAGACCUCGCGCUACUGGAGCGGCCGAUAUCAGAUUAGCUAGUUGGUGGGGUAAAGGCCUACCAAGGCAACGAUCUGUAGUUGGUCUGAGAGGACGACCAGCCACACUGGGACUGAGACACGGCCCAGACUCCUACGGGAGGCAGCAGUGGGGAAUUUUGGACAAUGGGCGCAAGCCUGAUCCAGCAAUGCCGCGUGCAGGAAGAAGGCCUUCGGGUUGUAAACUGCUUUUGUCAGGGAAGAAAUCUUCUGGGCUAAUAUCCCGGGAGGAUGACGGUACCUGAAGAAUAAGCACCGGCUAACUACGUGCCAGCAGCCGCGGUAAUACGUAGGGUGCGAGCGUUAAUCGGAAUUACUGGGCGUAAAGCGUGCGCAGGCGGCUUUGCAAGACAGAGGUGAAAUCCCCGGGCUCAACCUGGGAACUGCCUUUGUGACUGCAAGGCUAGAGUACGGCAGAGGGGGAUGGAAUUCCGCGUGUAGCAGUGAAAUGCGUAGAUAUGCGGAGGAACACCGAUGGCGAAGGCAAUCCCCUGGGCCUGUACUGACGCUCAUGCACGAAAGCGUGGGGAGCAAACAGGAUUAGAUACCCCCGUAGUCC